UACGUAGGUGGCGAGCGUUGUCCGGAAUUAUUGGGCGUAAAGCGCGUGUAGGCGGCUUUGCAAGUCGGGUGUGAAAUCCCUCAGCUCAACUGAGGAAGUGCGCCCGAAACUGCAGAGCUUGAGUACCGGAGAGGAUGGCGGAAUUCCCCAAGUAGAGGUGAAAUUCGUAGAUAUGGGGAGGAACACCGGUGGCGAAGGCGGCCAUCUGGACGGAUACUGACGCUGAGACGCGAAAGCGUGGGUAGCAAACAGG
rnacentral:rRNA from 1 species